UGUUUCACAAAAACCUAAGAAGUUUUAAUAAUACUUGCUCUUGCGCAUUGCUCCAUAAGUGAACGUAUAUCUGUGCGCUGAAAUAUUUUUAUCUUUUAAUACCCGAUGGUAUUAUAGUAAUAAUGGAGUAUUUUGUUAUAUUAUUGUUUGGUGGUCUAGAGGUAUCUGCGCAAUUCUACAACAUUAUAAGUGAAAACCCGAUAAAACCAGAAAAAUGUAUAGGAUCAGAUGAUAUUUUAUUUGAUCGGCACUGUUGUAUCGUACCAGCAUUUUUUGAUCGCUUCGUGGUGCGAUCUUGCGGUGGAAUUACGGAGAUAUUUGAAGUUCACAAAAAGGAAGGAGUAGCUAUGGGGCGACGCCAUUUUAUUCCAGAUUGCAAUUUCUGGGAAUGCGUUUUAAAAAAAUACAAAAUGCUUAAUGAAGAUAAAUCUGUUAAUAGCGAAAAAUUUUACACUCACUUAGAGAAGUGGGCAUCAAUGAACAAGCCAUUUAGUAGUCUAUUACUGAGUGCGAAGAUUCACUGCAGACAGUAUUUCAUAAUGUUUAUGCCUCUGUCCACUUGCGAAUUUUACAACUUUCUACUAUGCUUUCGAGAUUAUUUGAAGCUAUAUGACUGUCCAGUAUUAGUACAAUCAAAGAAAUGUUACGAAUGGAAGGAAUUCUUCGACGAGUGCAAACAAUAUUAUUUAAUGUAAAAACAAAAGAAUAUCUAAAAUGUUUAUUUCAUGAUAAUUACAAUGAAUGAACUACUUUA